UCUGAUUUGUUUGCUAUGCAUCUAUAGGUAGAGACCCUCUCUAUUUAUAGACAAAUCUCAUGACCCAAUAAGUAUAGGAGUCCUAACUUAAAUCUGAUUUGAAUUAGUCCAACACUCAUGAAAGAAGGAUUCCUACAUAAGAUAGAAUUGCCAUCACAUAUGACAACCAAUUUGCACCCACUCUUUCACACACAUGGGAUGCCCCAAACCAGCACUAUUCUAGGUGUUUCUCAGCCCAC
rnacentral:lncRNA from 1 species